UUUGGAGCCCUGUGAUAUGCACAAUAUGAAACCAUUUUUGUGGUCUGUCUCCCAUUUUUCUCCAAGCAAUGCAACUCCAUACGAUACCCUGCCCUUGAAGCACACAUUGCNAAUAAGUGGAACACUUGCAACACUGAGUGCAAGAACCAUGAAUUUGCUUACAGAUGACACAAAUCUUUACAAAAGAAUUUGAAGGGAUACUUAAGAUCCCAAUAGCAGGUUCCAUCUUUUCAUCACUUGCAAAGGAGACUUCAGGUUGAAACCAAGCACAUGUAACAUGAACCCA
rnacentral:misc_RNA from 1 species